AUUGAACGCUGGCGGAAUGCUUUACACAUGCAAGUCGAACGGUAACAGGUCUUCGGAUGCUGACGAGUGGCGAACGGGUGAGUAAUAUAUCGGAACGUGCCCAGUCGGGGGGGAUAACGUAGCGAAAGUUACGCUAAUACCGCAUACGAUCUAUGGAUGAAAGCGGGGGAUCGCAAGACCUCGCGCGAUUGGAGCGGCCGAUAUCAGAUUAGGUAGUUGGUGGGGUAAAGGCUCACCAAGCCAACGAUCUGUAGCUGGUCUGAGAGGACGACCAGCCACACUGGAACUGAGACACGGUCCAGACUCCUACGGGAGGCAGCAGUGGGGAAUUUUGGACAAUGGACGCAAGUCUGAUCCAGCCAUUCCGCGUGCAGGAUGAAGGCCCUCGGGUUGUAAACUGCUUUUGUACGGAACGAAAAGGUCUCUCCUAAUACGAGGGGCUCAUGACGGUACCGUAAGAAUAAGCACCGGCUAACUACGUGCCAGCCGCCGCCGUAAUAC
rnacentral:rRNA from 1 species